rnacentral:rRNA from 1 species
UUAAUGAGGCGAACCGGGGGAACUGAAACAUCUAAGUACCCCGAGGAAAAGAAAUCAACCGAGAUUCCCCCAGUAGCGGCGAGCGAACGGGGAGCAGCCCAGAGCCUGAAUCAGUGUGUGUGUUAGUGGAAGCGUCUGGAAAGGCGCGCGAUACAGGGUGACAGCCCCGUACACAAAAAUGCACAUACUGUGAGCUCGAUGAGUAGGGCGGGACACGUGGUAUCCUGUCUGAAUAUGGGGGGACCAUCCUCCAAGGCUAAAUACUCCUGACUGACCGAUAGUGAACCAGUACCGUGAGGGAAAGGCGAAAAGAACCCCGGCGAGGGGAGUGAAAAAGAACCUGAAACCGUGUACGUACAAGCAGUGGGAGCACGCUUAGGCGUGUGACUGCGUACCUUUUGUAUAAUGGGUCAGCGACUUAUAUUCUGUAGCAAGGUUAACCGAAUAGGGGAGCCGAAGGGAAACCGAGUCUUAACUGGGCGUUAAGUUGCAGGGUAUAGACCCGAAACCCGGUGAUCUAGCCAUGGGCAGGUUGAAGGUUGGGUAACACUAACUGGAGGACCGAACCGACUAAUGUUGAAAAAUUAGCGGAUGACUUGUGGCUGGGGGUGAAAGGCCAAUCAAACCGGGAGAUAGCUGGUUCUCCCCGAAAGCUAUUUAGGUAGCGCCUCGUGAAUUCAUCUCCGGGGGUAGAGCACUGUUUCGGCAAGGGGGUCAUCCCGACUUACCAACCCGAUGCAAACUGCGAAUACCGGAGAAUGUUAUCACGGGAGACACACGGCGGGUGCUAACGUCCGUCGUGAAGAGGGAAACAACCCAGACCGCCAGCUAAGGUCCCAAAGUCAUGGUUAAGUGGGAAACGAUGUGGGAAGGCCCAGACAGCCAGGAUGUUGGCUUAGAAGCAGCCAUCAUUUAAAGAAAGCGUAAUAGCUCACUGGUCGAGUCGGCCUGCGCGGAAGAUGUAACGGGGCUAAACCAUGCACCGAAGCUGCGGCAGCGACGCUGAUGCGUUGUUGGGUAGGGGAGCGUUCUGUAAGCCUGUGAAGGUGUGCUGUGAGGCAUGCUGGAGGUAUCAGAAGUGCGAAUGCUGACAUAAGUA